rnacentral:miRNA from 1 species
CCACCCCCUUGGUUUGCCUGGGACUGAGAGGCUUUCGAGGGUGCCAGACUUUCAGUGCUGAAGUCA